AACGAACGCUGGCGGCAGGCUUAACACAUGCAAGUCGAGCGCGUAGCAAUACGAGCGGCAGACGGGUGAGUAACGCGUGGGAAUCUACCGUACCCUAUGGAAUAGCUCCGGGAAACUGGAAGUAAUACCAUAUACGCCCGAAAGGGGAAAGAUUUAUCGGGGUAUGAUGAGCCCGCGUUGGAUUAGCUAGUUGGUGGGGUAAAGGCCUACCAAGGCGACGAUCCAUAGCUGGUCUGAGAGGAUGAUCAGCCACAUUGGGACUGAGACACGGCCCAAACUCCUACGGGAGGCAGCAGUGGGGAAUAUUGGACAAUGGGCGCAAGCUUGAUCCAGCCAUGCCGCGUGAGUGAUGAAGGCCUUAGGGUUGUAAAGCUCUUUCACCGGAGAAGAUAAUGACGGUAUCCGGAGAAGAAGCCCCGGCUAACUCCGUGCCAGCCGCCGCGGUAAUAC
rnacentral:rRNA from 1 species